rnacentral:rRNA from 1 species
UACGUAGGGGGCAAGCGUUAUCCGGAUUCACUGGGUGUAAAGGGAGCGUAGACGGCCAUGCAAGCCUGGAGUGAAAGCCCGGGGCCCAACCCCGGGACUGCUCUGGGAACUGUGCGGCUGGAGUGCGGGAGGGGCAGGCGGAAUUCCUGGUGUAGCGGUGAAAUGCGUAGAUAUUAGGAGGAACACCAGUGGCGAAGGCGGCCUGCUGGACAGUAACUGACGUUGAGGCUCGAAAGCGUGGGGAGCAAACAGG